rnacentral:tRNA from 1 species
CCCGGGAUAGAGCAGUGGUAGCUCACUGGUUUCCUUAGCCAGGAGUCGGUGGUUCGAUUCCGCCUCCCGGAA